UACAGAGGUCUCAAGCGUUGUUCGGAUUCAUUGGGCGUAAAGGGUGUGUAGGUGGCGCCGUAAGUCGGGUGUGAAAUUUCGGAGCUUAACUCCGAAACUGCAUUCGAUACUGCGGUGCUUGAGGACUGGAGAGGAGACUGGAAUUCAUGGUGUAGCAGUGAAAUGCGUAGAGAUCAUGAGGAGGACCAGUGGCGAAGGCGGGUCUCUGGACAGUUCCUGACACUGAGACACGAAGGCCAGGGGAGCAAACGGG
rnacentral:rRNA from 1 species